GGUGUUUUACUCGCCGUUUUCCCCGCUGUCCUUUAAUGCUAAACUUCACCUGUAAAACUGUCUACGUUGUUUCAAAAGAUCAUGAAUUUCACAUUACAGCAGAAGUUCUGGUCCUGUCAGUGUUUACAUCUCAUGAUUGACAGCAAAAAGGAAAUGGGGCCACUCUCUGAUAAGUGUCUCCACGCCGCUCAGACGCUUCCUCCGCUGAUGCAGCUCGGCGUUCUAACCCAGAAAACAUCUGCAGAGCCGAGGAUGGGAUGCUGAAAACGAGGAGUCAAGAAGCUGAGCUUUUGGGUCAAAGAGAAACCCUCAGACUGAAGAAUCCAGUGGAUCGUCUGCAGAAAUCAACACAGAGAGGCCUGUAGAGAUAGUUCAUCAAAUAUAAUCAUAAAGGUGCAAUUAGAUCCUAUUUAUCAUUCACAAGUGCACUCUACGGUCACCAACUCCAAUAUUAUCCUUUGGAGACACUGGAUGUAAAUAUUUUAGACUUUUUAAUUUAAAAAAAUAUAUUUUUCCUUUAAAAUGUAUCUUAGUUUCACUCCUGACUUUUAUUCAUUAAAACACCUUUGGGGUGUAAUCAUUUUGCUGUACAUGCUAUUAUAAAACAGGAAAUUCAAAUUCUGAAAUAAAAGUUGUAAAUGAUUUCAUCAAACACUUGAAUCCAAUUUCCUUUAAAGCUGAUUUCUUCCACAUCUUCAGUCAAACAUGGGUCUUCUUUAAACUCUUCGGCUUAAACUCUAUUCUCAGGAGAAACGUUUCCUCUAACAACCUGAAGUGUUUUUGAAUUAUAAAUAUUAAAAAUUGAUAAAUUAUUUGUUAAAUUAGAGCUAAAUUGUAAGUAAAAUUCAGUGUUUUUUCAGAGAAUCUCUUGCUCAGAAAGCAGAAAAUUCAAUUCAAAAGCAAAAAAGUCCUAAAAAUAAAACAAGGAAAACAAGAGUAUUCACAUUUAAAAAUGGGACAAAUUAAUUUGAAACAAAAUAUAAAGAAAAUUAAGUUUUGUGUGAUAAAUUGGUUUAAAAAACAUAAUUAUCUAUAUAUAGUUACAAAAAAUAAUAUUACUCGAUGCCACAACUCAGAGCAGGGUUCCUGCUGGGUAUUAAAGAGUCUUUAAAGUAUUUAAUUUAUGAAUUUGGAAAUAAUAUCCUAAAAACAACUUUAAAAGUCUUGAAUUUUGAUAUCUGAGCCCUAAAAAUGUUGCAGUUUCAAACUUUUCUGUUCCACAUUUCUUGUCAAAAAUGUAAACCAUAAAUGUUUGGAUCAAAUAAUGUAAAUAAAAGGCACCUAAGUCAUUCGUUAUGUACCGAUAGGCUGCUGAAAACAAAAAAAAAAAACAAAAAAAAAGAAAAAGAAGGGCAACAACCUUGUUCAAGGCAAGAAGUUUUAGUUUUAUUUAUGUUAAAAUGUACAUUUAAAGUGGGUGGACCGAAGCAGCAGAUGCUUCCUGCACUGACUUUGUUUCUGAAUUAUGUUCUUGUAUUUAAAUGGGCUUUAAAUAUGAAUUGGUCUUUAUUUUUGAUUAAAAAAACGGUCUUAAAAAGUCCUAAAUCUAAUUUGAAUAAACUUGUAACAUGUCUGUCAGAGGAGAAUUUCUAAUGAGCUAAUGCUGAUGUGCAGAAAAUAUAUCCUAAAAAAACAACAAUCAUAUUUAUAAGAAC